rnacentral:rRNA from 1 species
GAUGAACGCUAGCGGGAGGCCUAACACAUGCAAGUCGAGCGGUAUUUUUUCUUCUGAUAUGAGAGAGCGGCGUACGGGUUCGUAACACGUGUGUAACCUGCCUUUAUCUCGGGGAUAGCCUUUCUAAAGGAAGAUUAAUACUCCAUAAUAUAUUUAACGGCAUCUUUUAAUAUUGCAAGCUCCGGCGGAUAGAGAUGGGCACGCGCGAGAUUAGCUAGUUGGUGAGGUAACUGCUCACCAAGGCUGAGAACGUUAGUGGGACUGAGAGGGUGAUCCCCCACACUGGUACAGAGACACGGACCAGACGCCUACGAGAGGCAGCAAAGAUGUAUAUUAGGCAAUAGGUGCAAGUCUGGACCAGCCGUCGCGAGUGAAAGACGACUAUGCUAUGGGAUGUAAAAUUCUUUUAUAUAGGGAUAAACCUACCCUCGAGAGGGUAGCUGAAGGUACUAGACGAAUAAGCACCGGCUAACUCCGUG